GAAAUGUGAGGGCAAUCUGACUAUGACAUUUGUCACCUAAGUGACCUCCAGUGUUAAUUCAUCUGAUCUGGCUGGCUAGGCAUGUGUCCCCUUCCUUCAUUGCUACUCCUGUUAGCCCCUCCUGAAGCUGCCCAUCUCGUCAAAGAAAACCUUCCCCUUAAAGAGCAGGGUCAUCGUCCUAUCAAGGGCACAGAGUAGCUGCCCUCUCCUGCCAGACCCUCCAAACAAGUACUUGGGCAUGGGAGAGGGGUUGCCUUGGAAGUUUCUUGCGCAUAAUGCUAGUCGCACUGAUGAUGUUGCCUGUCGUGUGUG
rnacentral:snRNA from 1 species